GGGGGUAUGGCGGAAUUGGUAGACGCUGCAGACUUGGUUCAAGUCCCUCUAUCCCCA
rnacentral:tRNA from 1 species